rnacentral:lncRNA from 1 species
UCUAGAAGUACCAAACAGAGGUGCUUUGCUUAUAUUUUCAUUUCUUGUUUGAUUCUUUUGUGGCUCCAAUGGAAGGGCCAAGGUCAAAAUCAAGCUUUAUUGAUCUCAUUCAUGUCUUUAUUUCUAUCUAUGAAUACCUUCAUCUAUAUUCAAUCAGACCAUUUAUUUUUUAUCUCAAUCAAUUUAUUAAUAUUUAAAUUUAUUAAAGUAUUAAAAGAGGAUUCAUGUCUCUAAUCUUAAUUUUUACUUUACCAAGUUGUUUAUUUAAGACUUUGUUGUUGUGUAUCAUUUGCAUUUACUCCAUCCUCCUUAGCCUAGUGUCUUUCUACAUGAUAUGACCUUUUACGUUUCAACUUGUUAGAAUUAGCUAUCAA